rnacentral:rRNA from 1 species
GACGAACGCUGGCGGCGUGCUUAAAAACAUGCAAGUCGAACGGACUUCUCAUGAAGCUUGCGAUUGAGAAGUUAGUGGCGGACGGGUGAGUAACGCGUGGGCAACCUGCCCCUGAGCCCGGGAUAACAGUUCGAAAAGGACUGCUAAGACCGGAUAUACUUGCGGUGAAGCAUUUCACUGCAAGGAAAGGGAACGCUCAGGGAUGGGCCCGCGUCCCAUUAGCUAGUUGGUGAGGUAACGGCCCACCAAGGCGACGAUGGGUAGCCGGUCUGAGAGGGUGAACGGCCACACUGGGACUGAGACACGGCCCAGACUCCUACGGGAGGCAGCAGUUGGGAAUCUUCGGCAAUGGGCGCAAGCCUGACCGAGCAACGCCGCGUGAGUGAUGAAGGUUUUCGGAUUGUAAAGCUCUGUCUUCCGGGACGAUAAUGACGGUACCGGAGGAGGAAGCCACGGCUAACUACGUG